rnacentral:rRNA from 1 species
UACGUAGGGUGCAAGCGUUAAUCGGAAUUACUGGGCGUAAAGCGUGCGCAGGCGGUUUGGUAAGACAGAUGUGAAAUCCCCGGGCUUAACCUGGGAAUUGCAUUUGUGACUGCCCGGCUAGAGUGUGUCAGAGGGGGGUAGAAUUCCACGUGUAGCAGUGAAAUGCGUAGAGAUGUGGAGGAAUACCGAUGGCGAAGGCAGCCCCCCUGGGAUAACACUGACGCUCAUGCACGAAAGCGUGGGGGAGCAAACAGG